GUAUGCUAAUUUUUCCUCACAGCAAAUCGCCAUGGCAUCCAGUAAGGACGCAGUGAUCGCUGCUAUCUUCAUCCAGGUCUUGCUCCUCAUGGCAUCGUCCUAUUGUGCGGAGGCAAAGAUAUGCACGAAGCCUAAUCCAUUUUACCUGACCUUAUGCCAAAGCGACAAGGCCUGCGGAGACUCGUGCAUUCACUUUGGCAUCGGCACCAGCGGGUUCUGCAAAGGCAGACGACCACCCACCAGAGUCUGCACGUGUAACUUCGAAUGUCCAGGGCAAGAGCGAAGCAACACGUUUACAUGAUGGGGAUGAGCCGCUAUAUCUAGCUUAAUUAUUAGCAUGCCCAAACUGAAUAUCCAAUAAUUUGAGUGUUUCUGUAGUUGAUUGUUCGCUGUUUGUUUCAAAACGGGCUAGCAGCAAGGACCAGAGCUGCAUGUGUAACAUUUGUUUUCAAAGUUAAUAUAUGUGUCCAAUCUUGUCUUUGGAGAUGCA